AUAACGGUGUCUUUAGACACCACCCUUUAUAUUCAAAAAUCUUUG
rfam:Picea glauca, whole genome shotgun sequence.